CUUUACUGUGCAAGAUAGGAAGCAGCCAGAGAGAAGAAGGAAGGGUAUGGACUUGGAUCAAGUGUGAACUCUUGUUUGCCAGCUGCUUGCAUGAACCAGACUGGGGUCUCAUAGCGGUCCUGAGCCAUCGACAUUUCAAGUAUCUGCGGGCCCACUGAUUCUGCCUCCUCUCAACCGCAGUGUGCUCCUGGCUCCUCAUGGCCCCAUUUCUACUUCCAGUCUCUUUCUGCUGCACAUUCUGUACAACCUCUCACAGCAAACCGCCCCGUUCUCUCCACGGUUCUCAAUUCUAACUCCCGAGAGGUAUUAGAUCUACUGCUGGACCCAGUGCCACCCUGUUUGGAAAGGCCGUUCCUGUCAGAAUAUCUCGUGGGUUGUUACCAGCCUAUCGAUUUUGACUGUCCCUAUGUUAGGGAUCCCGCUGGGUAGAGUCACCUCAGGAGAGCUCAGGAACACCUUGCUCCUUCAGAAGUGCCGACGGACCUGUGGGCUGGGGACUGAAACUUUGGCAGUGACAGACAAGAGUCAAAACUGAUCUCCCAUCAAUAGCAGGUCAGCCGUGGAAGGGGGAGACCCUGAAAAUGCAGGGACAUAAGAUGGUAGCCGAGCAGGACGUGGGGGGCCAGAGGAGGCACUAAGAAGAGAUGAAAAGACAUCCAGCUGGGAGCUGAAAGUUCCUGGAAAAUGAGCUGCAGACCAGGAGUCAUCAGUAAGAUAUCCACAGGAAACAGCCAGCUUCUCACAAAGGAACCACCAGGGACCUCCAGCAACACUUCUCUCCCUUCUGCUUGCGAAUUUCAGGAAAAUGUGUACAAUCUCACUGACAGCAGAGAUCCUCUUAGUUGCUUGACGUGGAAUCUGAGAAUAUUACAUUCCUUGUGUA